GUUUUUUUCGGAGAAAAAAAAGGGAAAACAGAUAAAGGGAGGGAGAGUGAGUGGGAGCUAAUGAGACGAAUACACAAUGAAGGUCGGCGGCGUCGUGUUAUACGGCGGAGCUCCACGGGGCAGCGUCGUGCCUCUGCUUGUCAGCCGCCGCAGAGUUUCCCUUCGCGUCUCUUCUUACUCCUCCAUUUCUGACCACGUCUCUUUCGUGAAGGAUGUCGCUGCGACUCAGCCUCCUCAGCAUCUUUCACAACUCCUCACUAUUUUGAAAACCAGAGGUGAAUCUAUUGUCUCUCCUGGUGCCAGGCAAGGAUUAAUACCUCUUGCUGUACCACUGUCGAAAAAUAGCUCUGGUAAUGUAACUGCGCUGCUGCGGUGGCCAACGGCUCCACCCGAGAUGGAAAUGCCAGUGGUGGAAGUCAGAAAAUAUGGAGUAUGGCUUUUAGCUAAGAGUGUAGACCAAUUUAUACACCGAGCAUUAGUUGAGGAAGAUGCAAAGAGUGGUCAAGAGAGAAAUGAAGAAGUAUUUUAUGCUUCCGGUGAUGCUGGGAAGAAACUUUACAGAAAGGGUGAUUUUGCAGAGUCUGGAAUUUCUAACCUAGAUGUCUAUCUUUUGAAAAAGGUUGGUAUAUUUCCAGAUAUCUUAGAGCGCAAAGUGACGCGGCAUUUUGAGGAAGGAGAUCAUGUUUCAGCUUUAAUAACUGGGGAAUUUUACACCAAGAAGGAGCAUUUUCCAGGAUUUGCACGACCUUUUGUGUUCAACGCUGAGGUUUUGUUAAGGGUUGGGCGUAAAGUAGAAGCUAAAGAUGCCGCAAGGGGAGCUUUGAAAUCACCAUGGUGGACCUUGGGCUGCAAGUAUCAUGACGUGGCUAAUAUAGCACAAUGGGAUGAUGAACAAAUUGAGUACAUUAAAGAGAAGGUGACUGAACAGGGAAGGCAAGAAGAUCUUAAAAAGGGGAAGGCCCCUGCACAGGUUGUACUAGAUGAAGCUGCUUUCUUGUUGGAUUUGGCUUCUAUAGAGGGAGAAUGGGAUGACUAUUUAGAGCAGAUAGCCAAAUGUUAUGAGGAAGCAGGACUUCAUGAUAUUGCAAAAUUCAUACUUUAUAGAGAUUAAUACUACCAGAUUUUCUUUCCGCCAACAUGCUUCAGUACAUUUCCAUUUCGGCGUUUCCAAAUAUGAAGUUUUGGAAAUAAUUAGAGGAAAAUUAUACGAUUCAUUCCGCAGUUGGAUAUUUUUCCUUGAGUUCUCAUUCCGUUGCAAUCAAUUUAACUUGAACUCCUAGAUGCCUAUUAUGUAUCAUGCACUACAUGGUUGGUGACGCAAAUUGACGUGGGAACAGAUCGGGGCCUAGGCGGUGCCGGUAGUAACUUUGUGCCAACAUAUAGUUAGAAAUUAGCAAGGUACCUUUAUGUGGUUGCUCGAGAGCUUCGACCUGCUGAAUACCUUACACCAAUGAAGUGGAGAUUUGAGAACUGGCAUCUUAAGCUUUAGUGCAUGCCGGCUUGAACCUUUAUUCGUUGGGCUUUUUCAUCAUAUUAGGGUUGAUAUGAAAGCAUUUUACUAUUUUUGUUAAAGCAGCCCCAAAGGGGACACAUGGUGACAAUGUUGGUGUCGUUGGAGCUAGUUAUGACAUGACAUGUCAUGCAACACGUUCCAGCGACAUCAUUUUAUUAUUAUUAUUAUUAUUAUUAUUAUUAUUAUUAUUAUUAUUAUUUGUCACUA